UACGUAGGGUGCAAGCGUUUGUCCGGAAUUAUUGGGCGUAAAGAGCUCGUAGGCGGUGUGUCGCGUCUGCUGUGAAAACUCAGGGCUCAACUCUGAGCUUGCAGUGGGUACGGGCACACUAGAGUGCUGUAGGGGAGACUGGAAUUCCUGGUGUAGCGGUGAAAUGCGCAGAUAUCAGGAGGAACACCGGUGGCGAAGGCGGGUCUCUGGGCAGUUACUGACGCUGAGGAGCGAAAGCAUGGGGAGCGAACAGG
rnacentral:rRNA from 1 species